GGAGCAAGUCGGCGAGCUCCGAGCUGUUGGGGCGGAAUACCGGGUCCCUUUCUCAGUCCCCAGAACCUUUCCCUGGAAAGGACCAGCGCCAACCCCCAGAUCAUCAUGGGAGUCCGGUCCAGCCUCUGGCCAGGAUGUGAUUUUUUGGCUUCUAAUGCCCAGGCCCUCACCUUUCUCUCUUGCCUGGCACACUCGUGCAGCCCCACAUCGGAGGCUUCAGAAAACAUUGGGCUUUGGGGACUUCUCUGGUGGCAAAGUGAUUAAGAAUCCGCCUGCCAGUGCAGGGAACACAGGUUCGAGCCCUGGUCCGGGAAGAUCCCACAUGCCGCGGAGCAACUAAGCCCAUGCGCCACAACUACUGAGCCUGCAGUCUAGAGCCCACGAGCCACAACUACUGAGCCCACGGGCCACAACUACUGAAGCCCACACGCCUGGAGCCCAUGCUCUGCAACAAGAGAAGCCACCCAAUGAGAAGCCCGUGCACCGCAACGAACAGUAGCCCCUGCUCACUGCAACUAGAGAAAGCCUGCGCGCAACAAUGAA